rnacentral:misc_RNA from 1 species
AGCAGCCGCGGUAAUUCCAGCUCCAAUAGCGUAUAUUAAAGUUGUUGCAGUUAAAAAGCUCGUAGUUGAAUUUCGGGGUUAGUAGGUUGGUCAUGCCUCUGGUAUGUACUGGUCUCACUGAUUCCUCCUUCCUGAUGAGCCGUAAUGCCAUUAAUUUGGUGUUGCGGGGAAUUUGGACUGUUACUUUGAAAAAUUAGAGUGUUUAAAGCAAGCUAACGCUUGAAUACAUUAGCAUGGAAUAAUGAAAUAGGACGUUCGAUCCUAUUUUGUUGGUUUCUAGGAUUGACGUAAUGAUUAAUAGGGGUAGUUGGGGGCAUUAGUAUUCAAUUGUCAGAGGUGAAAUUCUUGGAUUUAUUGAAGACUAACUACUGCGAAAGCAUUUGCCAAGGAUGUUUUCAUUAAUCAAGAACGAAAGUUAGGGGAUCGAAGACGAUCAGAUACCGUCGUAGUCUUAACCAUAAACUAUGCCGACUAGGGAUCGGAUGAUGUUAAUUUUUUAAUGACUCAUUCGGCGCCUUAC